rnacentral:rRNA from 1 species
GCAAGUCGAACGCUCUCGAUCUUCGGACUGAGUAGAGCGGCGGACGGGUGAGUAACGCGUAGAUAUCUACCUGGUAGUGGGGGACAACCUGGUGAAAACCAGGCUAAUACCGCAUACGCCCUACGGGGGAAAGCGGGGGAUCUUCGGACCUCGCGCUAUCAGAUGAGUCUGCGUUGGAUUAGCUAGUUGGUGGGGUAAAAGCCUACCAAGGCGACGAUCCAUAGCUGGUCUGAGAGGACGAUC